rnacentral:lncRNA from 1 species
CCUGCCUUGGGCUGCAGCCGGCUCCAGGCCUCUCCUUCCUUCCCCAGCACUGCAGGCUGGAUCGCCUUCUGCUCCAUGUCAUCAGGGCAGGGGCAGGGAGUCCUGAGCUGCCCCACCAGGACAGCACAGGCACGAGGAAGGGGAGGGAAUCCUGCCUGAGCUGUGAUGCACCUGUAGAGAAAACAGCAGAAUUUGGCAAGAACACACAUGAUGUCACAGUAACCCGACAGGUAACUGGGAAUAAAUCACUGCUCCUGCAGGAAGGAGGGUCUGGAUGUUUCUUUGAGCAAGGAGAGGGAAUGCCUUCCUGUGGUGAAGUUUGACUCUGGCUGACGGGCGAUGAGACCAGCAAACGUCAUAUUUAGAUGUUAAAUCACAUUUAGAUGUUAAAGCAUCCAGGAGAGGAGCUGGUAACUCCCAAACCAUAAAUACAUGAAGAAGGUUCUGGCUUCAGAAAGGCAGAUGGGCACACUGGAAGGUGCACUGGGAAGCUGUGACCUUUUGCAACCUUCCUGCUGGGACAAUGCUGUGGUUUUCCCUCACUGAUGCUGACAGAUGCCUGUUGUCCAUGUUGGAUGUUGGCUGGCUGCACGCGCUGCAAGUUUGCUGCUGCCAGCAGAAGCUCCUGAGGCUGGAGGUGGCUCCUCAAGCCAUGGUGCCAGACAGCUCUGAGCUGGAGAGAGGGGGCUUGUGCUCUGCUCUGGGUGCCAGGGAGGGAUUGUUUUCAGGCUGGGGAUGUGUGUGGAAGGAAGAGCCCGAGGAUGCAGAUGGAAUGGAAGAAAAUCUAAGUGAUUAAAUGGCUGUAGAUGAGUGGAGAUAUGGCUUAAGAGAUUGAUGGCCGCCUGCUGGGUGGAGAGAUGGAGGGAAAGAUUGGACUCACGUGCAGCGAGAUUGCACAUCUGCCCCCCCUUCCCAUGUUAAAUUGCAUUUGUUACUGUUUUUUAGCCUUCCCCUGGGUUAACUUCCACAGGGCUCUGUACCACACCUUUAUGGCCACAUCUGCUAUUUCCACCUCCCAGACUCUCUGCUCUGUUCUGGAGUAAAAAGCCUAUAAAAUAAACCUUGUGCAGCCACACA